rnacentral:rRNA from 1 species
UACAGAGGAUGCAAGCGUUAUCCGGAAUGAUUGGGCGUAAAGCGUCUGUAGGUGGCUUUUUAAGUCCGCCGUCAAAUCCCAGGGCUCAACUCUGGACAGGCGGUGGAAACUACCAAGCUGGAGUACGGUAGGGGCAGAGGGAAUUUCCGGUGGAGCGGUGAAAUGCGUAGAGAUCGGAAAGAACACCAACGGCGAAAGCAGCACUCUGGGCCGGCACUGACGCUGAGGAGCGAAAGCGUGGGGAGCGAACAGG